UGACUGCCAUAACUAUUGUGCAUUCUAGAAGCAGUUUGGGGAUCUGCUGGGAAACUUCAUUGUACCCUCUUCUCCAAGAUGCACAACAGUGAAGAGAGAGUCCAUCUUAUCGUCUUGCCUCCUGAAGAGAAACUCGGAUAACAGGGGUAAUGCCUCCUCUCUUCCCAGGGAUGUGCUAAAGCCAGCUCAUACAGAUUCUACUGGAAAAGACUAGACACUACAAAAGGCAACAUUUGAAGACUCAUUGGUCUUGAUCUCUUCAGUCAAACAGCCCCACCAAGAGACAAGCUGACAGCUGCUGCCACCUGGAACAGAGUCCAACUCCUAGAAAAAGGGCCCCGAGUAAAUUGUCACAGUGGUCACCUGGAGAGUGAAGCCAAGGAGUGUGACUACAGCUCAAGAUCCAUCUCCUACUGGGACAUCACCCUCCUCUGCAAACAAAUAGGUACAAAAAGGCUUUCUAAGACUCCACAAGAACAUCUGCCUCUACCCCACCCCAAACAGAGUGUCCAGAACCAAUCAACUUUAAGAAGAUAGGAGAGGAGAAUCUAGAAAGAAGCUAUCAACAGAGGAGCCCCAGGGACAUGAGCUUCUUGAGAGUGAGGACUGUUUUUUUGUCUUUCUUUGUACUCCAAAUCCUUAGCACAGAGCUAGCACAUAAUAGGAAUCUAAUAAAUAUUUGUUCACUGACUGA